UACAGAGACUGCAAGCGUUAUUCGGAUUUACUGGGCGUAAAGGGCGCGUAGGCGGCAUGACAAGUCACUUGUGAAAUCUCCGGGCUUAACUCGGAACGGUCAAGUGAUACUGUCGCGCUAGAGUGCGGAAGGGGCAAUCAGAAUUCUUGGUGUAGCGGUGAAAUGCGUAGAUAUCAAGAGGAAUACCUGAGGUGAAGACGGGUUGCUAGGCCGACACUGACGCUGAAGCGCGAAAGCCAGGGGAGCAAACGGG
rnacentral:rRNA from 1 species